AGCCAACUGCAGGGGAAAGGGGAGGGAGAACAGGGAGCGAGUGAGUGAUUGGUGCAUGGCUUGGAGAGUCUCAGUGGGAGUACUAAAAUUGGGGAGUACCAUUUCCAAGCCACAAUAUGCCCCUGAUGGUAAUCGGAGGAAGAGGCUGGGAACAUGUGCGCUGGAAAGAAGCUACAGCAUGGUUCAUCCAGAUUCUCAGUCUGUAUACCUGAGAGGUGAGGAAACAAGAAAAUGCCGAGCAAAAAUCCUGCCUGCAACAUAUUCAGGAUCUAUGUUUGUCUUUAUUAUUAUGUGGCUGGAAAAGUCAUUAUUCCAGAGGAAAGCACCCUUUUGGCAAAACAAGCAGAGUUUGAACUAUUCCAAGCUCCAGUCUCAAACAGAUUUUACUUAACAGCUCACGACAAGAAAAAUCAACAAGAGACUUUUUUUCUGGGGAGGAAUGUGCGGGAUGAACAUACACCCAACUCGCAGGCCUUUUCCAGAUAUCAUAUUUUAAAUAUUUGAGCUUUCCUACUUUGUUUAUUAAGACAGAAUUGAUUGAAGUUUUGCACACAGCAGACCAGUGCUCAAGAGAUACAAUGCCCAACUUUAAUGUCAUAAUUAGAGUAUCUCCGUACACCUGCUGCUUUCCUUAAUGCAUGCACUCUUCUUAAUUAAUGCUAUAUUUUAAUAAAAAUUAGUAAUAACUGUUAGUUAACUGUGUAUGCAUGCACUUGCACCCUUCUGUCAAAUCCAGUAGAAGAACCCCUGUGAAAACAGCAUCAACGCUGUCCCAGUACAUUGGCAAAACCAGAAUAAUAUUCAAAAGAACCCUUUUGUACCUUAUGCAAAGGACUUUGCCUCAGUUGCCUCUGUGGCACACUGUGAUGGAUGCACUUGUCCUAUUUGAACUAAGUAAGCUUUUGUCCAGUCUGAUGUUCACCAAGUAGA